CUCGGAACCAUUUUGCGUCUUGUCGUCUCUUUUUGUGUUCCUGAGAAAGCGUGUGAGCUCCAGCUGAUCCAUGGAGCGCCCCCUGCUGUCCGCGGUGCUCCAGCCUCAGCUCCAGGUCCACAGAGCAGACGUCCAGCAGCUGCUGGUUAAAG